AUCACCCAGUGCCUCCCAGUAUCACCUAGCAGCUCCCAGUUCCAUCCCAGUGCCUCCCAGUAUCACCU
rnacentral:lncRNA from 1 species